CCUACGGGUGGCAGCAGUGAGGAAUAUUGGUCAAUGGACGAGAGUCUGAACCAGCCAAGUAGCGUGAAGGAUGACUGCCCUAUGGGUGGUAAACUUCUGUUAUAGGGGAAUAAAAUGUGGCACGUGUGGGAUUUUGUAUGUACCAUAUGAAUAAGGAUGGGCUAACUCCGUGCCAGCAGCCGCGGUAAUACGGAGGAUCCGAGCGUUAUCCGGCUGUAGUGGGUUUAAAGGGAGCGUAGGUGGUUUGUUAAGUCAGUUGUGAAAGUUUGCGGCUCAACCGUAAAAUUGCAGUUGAAACUGGCAGUCUUGAGUACAGUAGAGGUGGGCGGAAUUCUUGGUGUAGCGGUCAAAUGCUUAGAUAUCACGAAGAACUCCGAUUGCGAAGGCAGCUCACUGGACUGCAACUGACACUGAUGCUCGAAAGUGUGGGUAUCAAACAGGAUUAGAUACCCUAGUAGUC
rnacentral:rRNA from 1 species